rnacentral:rRNA from 1 species
GAUGAACGCUGGCGGCGUGCCUAAUACAUGCAAGUCGAGCGAACGGACGAGAAGCUUGCUUUUCUGAUGUUAGCGGCGGACGGGUGAGUAACACGUGGAUAACCUACCUAUAAGACUGGGAUAACUUCGGGAAACCGGAGCUAAUACCGGAUAAUAUUUUGAACCGCAUGGUUCAAAAGUGAAAGACGGUCUUGCUGUCACUUAUAGAUGGAUCCGCGCUGCAUUAGCUAGUUGGUAAGGUAACGGCUUACCAAGGCAACGAUGCAUAGCCGACCUGAGCGGGUGAUCGGCCACACUGGAACUGAGACACGGUCCAGACUCCUACGGGAGGCAGCAGUAGGGAAUCUUCCGCAAAGGGCGAAAGCCUGACGGAGCAACGCCGCGUGAGUGAUGAAGGUCUUCGGAUCGUAAAACUCUGUUAUUAGGGAAGAACAUAUGUGUAAGUAACUGUGCACAUCUUGACGGUACCUAAUCAGAAAGCCACGGCUAACUACGUG